rnacentral:rRNA from 1 species
UACGUAGGGUGCGAGCGUUAAUCGGAAUUACUGGGCGUAAAGUGUGCGCAGGCGGUUGAGCAAGUCGAGUGUGAAAGCCCCGGGCUUAACUUGGGAAUUGCGCUCGAAACUACUUGACUGGAGUGUGGCAGAGGAAGGUGGAAUUCCACGUGUAGCGGUGAAAUGCGUAGAGAUGUGGAGGAACACCAAUGGCGAAGGCAGCCUUCUGGGCCAACACUGACGCUGAGGAACGAAAGCUAGGGGAGCAAACAGG